GACCUCAAAUCGGGUGGGACUACCCGCUGAACUUAAGCAUAUCAAUAAGCGGAGGAAAAGAAACUAACAAGGAUUCCCCUAGUAACGGCGAGUGAAGAGGGAAAAGCUCAAAUUUUGAAUCUGGUGUCUUUGGCGCCCGAGUUGUAAUCUAGAGAAGUGUUUUCCGCGUUGGACCGUGUACAAGUUCCCUGGAAUGGGGUGUCAUAGAGGGUGAGAAUCCCGUACAUGGCACGGACUACCAAUGCUCUGUGAUACACUCUCAACGAGUCGAGUUGUUUGGGAAUGCAGCUCAAAAUGGGUGGUAAAUUCCAUCUAAAGCUAAAUAUUGGCGAGAGACCGAUAGCGAACAAGUACCGUGAGGGAAAGAUGAAAAGCACUUUGGAAAGAGAGUGAAACAGUACGUGAAAUUGUUGAAAGGGAAGCGU
rnacentral:rRNA from 1 species